rnacentral:misc_RNA from 1 species
GAUGAAGAACGUAGCGAAAUGCGAUAAGUAGUGAGAAUUGCAGAAUUCAGUGAAUCAUCGAAUCUUUGAACGCACAUUGCGCCCCUUGGUAUUCCAUGGGGCAUGCCUGUUCGAGCGUCAUUUGUACCUUCAAGCUUUGCUUGGUGUUGGGUGUUUGUCCUGAGGGACUCGCCUUAAAGUAAUUGGCAGCCAGUGUUUGGUUUUGAAGCGCAGCACAAGUCGCGAUUCAAAGCUAUACGCCCGCUUCCACAAGCCUUUUUCACUUUUGACCUCGGAUCAGGUAGGGAUACCCGCUGAACUUAAGCAUAUCAAUAAGCGGAGGA